AUUGUAUUUUAUGUAGCCGCUAGCUAGCUAGUCAGAAAAUACUUUUUUGAACAUUUCGCAGGAUAUGUUGUAGACGGCAAAAGUAGCUGUGGGUGCUACAGUAGCGCCUGAAUCAGGACGUUGACAUGUAGAAAAAAACGGAAAAAAACGAGGAUAUAUCCAUUCUGGGAACAAGUAAAUUCAUAGCCAACUCAACCCUCUUCUGUCCAGGCUAAAUUAACCACGCUUUUACCUUCCUUUCAUGCCACAUGACACACACCUAGCCUGCUAAGAUUACAUUUUGCCAUUAGUUUACACAGUGGCAAGAUGUAGUAAGUACCAAAUAAUAGAUUUUAUUUCACUAACAAUGAUCUAACUAACAAUUUGUUUUUGCACAGGAUUGUGGCGAUUGCAUACUGCUACUGCCUUAAAUGGAACCACUUAAUUUACAUCCAGGGAAGGGGGGCCGAGAUUACUAUGUUUUAAUUAUAUUUUGCACGAUAUACCCCUCCCCACGCACACAUACCUGAACACUUGAAAAGCAGUUGAAACAGAACAGAGAUAGUGGUUCGCAUUUUUCUACUAUGGUUAUACUCUGUCAUCACACGUUGACUUGCUCCCAGACAAUGAGACAGGUUGGCACAACACCACCGGUGUAAUGUACUGUAUCAAAUUACAGACCAUGACAAAAGGUGCAGGAACUCCACAAUACUUCUGAGCUAAUAUUCUGCUGUGCAUCACAACAAGUAGAUCAUUUGAUGUGUCAAUACUCAGUGCCGAUCAGGCAGAUCUUCAAGCAGUGUGCCCCAGCAGACGUCGCAGUUGUGCCCUGGUUAACACCCCCUCACUGUGUGCCAACAAAGCUGUUUGCCAUAUUCAGGAGCUGAAGAGGCAACUGGAGAACUGGUGUCAACAGUCAGGAAAUGUUCAGCAUCAGAUGUCUCAUGAAAAACAGAAAAAUAGCAAAACUUUUAGAUUUCAUUCCAGUGAAUCCAAGUCUUCAAUUAUGUCUACUGAGUUAUACAUUGAAGACAUUGGGCUAAGUGCAAGAACCGAAAGAAGUGAAUUAUUUUUCUCAAAUGAGAGGGAUACAGUACACAGCCUCGUGUCACAUGAUGUCCAUGAACACAAUGGAAUAUUUCUAGUAACAAAAAUGUCCAGUGUAAUGGCAUCUAUAACGUGCACAUUAUUCUGAAUCGUCCAUAUGCAGUACAGCCCCUGUUCUUUGCAGAUGCUUUCUAUACAAUGAGUCCACUCGUAGUGUAUUUUCGUUUUGCUUAGUUUAACUGAUAAUGACCAAUAUGUUUCAAUAGAUAAGGCUACUGGUAUACGUAUACUGUACAAACAUCUUUCUUCAUUCAUACGGAAGGUGGCCUGUUGUCUCCGCUGUGUAAGGAAACCACAAAGUUGGUGUAUCUGAUUGAACAUCUAGAAGCUGAUCGCCAGGAUGCAGAGGAAGCUCUACAAACAGAGAAGAAGAGGAGGUGAACUUUUGGGAGAAAAAUGUAUACUAUUUCACUGUGGAAGCAGCCGUCCAGAAAGGUCAGUCAGUGGCAUAAAUGUAGCCGGCAAAAGCAAACCUAGAACAGGACACAGACUCAUUUGGGGUUGUUUAUUCUGUCGAAGCGUGCAUUUAAAAUAGGACAAUGUAGGACGGAAAUCACUGCAAGGUGGUCACCAUAAAGUAAAGUUGAGUCUAAAUCACCAUCAAGUGAAGUAAAUGUGUUAGUAAAGUGCAUAAAAUCAAUCUGAGUACAAUAAGUACAAAGAGAAAUGCAUAAAUGGUAAUGGCUCUGCUUUCUAUAGAAAAACACAA